GAUGAACGCUGGCGGCGUGCUUAACACAUGCAAGUCGAACGGAAAGGCUCCUGCUUGCAGGGGUACUCGAGUGGCGAACGGGUGAGUAACACGUGGGUGAUCUGCCCUGCACUUCGGGAUAAGCCUGGGAAACUGGGUCUAAUACCGGAUAGGACCACAUUUUGGAUGGGGUGGUGGAAAGUUUUUCGGUGUGGGAUGAGCUCGCGGCCUAUCAGCUUGUUGGUGGGGUAAUGGCCUACCAAGGCGUCGACGGGUAGCCGGCCUGAGAGGGUGUACGGCCACAUUGGGACUGAGAUACGGCCCAGACUCCUACGGGAGGCAGCAGUGGGGAAUAUUGCACAAUGGGCGCAAGCCUGAUGCAGCGACGCCGCGUGGGGGAUGACGGCCUUCGGGUUGUAAACUCCUUUCGCUAGGGACGAAGCGUUUUUGUGACGGUACCUGGAGAAGAAGCACCGGCUAACUACGUG
rnacentral:rRNA from 1 species